AAAAAAAUCUAACUAACCCAUCAAACUAAACCGAUUUUACUUGACUAACCCAAUUCAGGAUUCUACUAUUCUAAUAUUCGCUGCAUUGUUCGGUUGUUCCUCAAGUUUCGUUUCCAAGGUUUUCAGCAAUGAAACGCCACUCAUUUCGCAUUCGACUAUCCCCACCACCAGAAGGCAGAAGAGGCACUUGAAAUGGGGCAAAAUCUAUGAUGGUCUAGUAUCUUUAAAAGGCUCAAAGUUCCGAUAUGUGGUGAUAUGGAGCCUGCUAAUUGCAAGGAAUUGAGUUUCAAUUCAGUGACUCUUUGAUGGCAUUGGCUACAAGUAACACUGUGCCACUUGCAGAAAUUGACAGUAUUAGUCCAAGAGCUCAUAAUUUGUGAUGGGUCAGCUGUUAUCUUUUUCUGGAAAUCAUGCAAGGCUAGAUGAUCGUCUCAUUUCUGCUUAUUCGACAUGAUAUUAAGGAGACAAGGGAUGUGUAGGUGAUAUAAUAUACAAGGAAGGAUGUCCACAGGUAUGGAGCACCCAUACCUAAAGUUAUAUGAUAUUGCAUGCAACCUAGGUACUUAAUGAGUUAAUGUAAUUAGGAGGAUUAUACUGUUCUCGGCUGUCUGGGUUCCUGGAAUAGAAAGACAAUGUAGGAGGAAAUACCCUUUAUCUUAUUUUGUUUUCAAAUAGGAAACGGGGGUAUUUGUAAUUGAAUAGACUGAUAUAGGGAAAAACUGAGAAUAAAGGAAGUAGAGUGAGAUUUAGAAGAAGCUAAAUAGAGUUGUAUUAACAAUGCUAUCAAUUCAUCACUAAGAGAAUACAAAUCAAGGCCAAAAGAAGAUAGAGGCACACACAAUUUCAUGAAUACAUGCUCUUUCCCAUAUCCCCUUGCUUAUUGCCUUAUUCUACUGUACCCUUGACAUGAUUCACAUAUCUGUCAAACCCUCACAAUUCACUGAUGUGCCCUCAAUCUUCUUUAAGGCACAGACUGUAAAACCUUCUUACAGUCUCUUGCUGAUGUCACCUUCAAUUCUCUUUGGACUUCUUGCAUAGGUUUUGCCGCGAUUGGAUGGCUUGUGAUGCAUUGCAGUAUUUCAAGAAGCAAGAUGUUCAUUUUUGAAAGCCAAGAAACUUUCUGCCUGAUGUUAACCAUGGUUCCAUGUGUCUUCUUAUGUGGCAUUGCUGAGACAUUGCGUGGAAAAGUUAAUUUGUAUCUCGGAAGUUGGAAGUGUCAAAUGGGUAAAUCGGAUAAUAGUAGUUUCAAACUUGGGAUAACACUGUCUUAAUUUUCUAGGUCUGGUCUGCACAAGUUUUACAUUAUUAUUUGGUUGAUUAAUUGUCUGGCUAAAUCUCUUACACAUAUUUUAAGGCCUAUGUGAUGUGUUGCAUUCCCAUUUACAAGGUGAGAUCACUGUUAUGCCUUUGGCAGGUUUACACGCGGAGAAAAUAACCUUGCUAUAUAACAGUGACAUUUUUGGGCCAUUGGCAUGAAAGCAUCAUAGUACUGUAGGUCCGUAGCCAUAUUUUUGAUAGCCUAAACAUUCUUAAGAAAAGCUAGUUGAACAUUCUUAAGUAGCAAGCACUUAUAGCUAUUUACCUUUAUUGUUGCACACUUACAAUCUUCAGGUUUUAUAGGCACAAAAUCCUUCGUCUUUUGUAAAUAUUACCUUGUUGGAGUUAAUUACACUAUAGGAUACAUUGAAGAUAUACCUGGAGUUCAUCUCUAAUAUGCUGAAGUUUCGUAUAGGUGAGUAUGAAGAUCAAGACUGUUAUUGGUUCACGCAUAUAUUGGUUCAAGGCCAUUCCAAGAAGAUCAAGACUGUUAUUGGUUCAAAAGAACAAGAUUAAUCAGUUGGCAACUAGGCACCCACCAAACUAUUCGCCUUGGCGGAUAAAUAUGCUAGAAGUAGAUGGACAGAUAUCCAUGAGAGACAGGGUUGCCUCUUGUUGGAAUGGCCUUGGCUCAACUAAAGAAAGUGAAGCUUUGACAUGCUCCUUAACUCCUUGCAAAUAAUUACUACCAGACUAAUGUUCUAAACUUCUAAAGUGUCUGCAGUUAAGCAAUUUUUUAAAUGAAGCAAGGCCUUGAACCAUUCUCUCAUCGCGUAUGUUUUAGAAUAAAUCAGGAUUUGGUAAGGUACUAAAAUCAGUUGUGGUUCUCAUGAGGUUCUGGGAGGCAAGUCUCACAAGUCAAGUUGAACACGAACAGAUUGGGAGUAGAUGAUGUUCUGUCGGAGUAUAUUCUGAUUUUGAUGUGUUGAUAUCAUCAGAUUUCUCACCAUGCCGCAGAUGAGGAAGUAUAAAUCAAGGGUUGUGAGACAAAUGGAAGUGUCUCACUACUAUUAAAAUAACAUAAAAGUAUAAGGAAGAGAGAGAUAGGAAGAGUGAAAAAGGUGGUGUGGGCCCCAUUAAAACUUUUCAGACAUGUAUCUUGUGUAAAAACGGACACAAAUUUUUGGGGACCACUACCACAAUUUAUAUUUUGUUCCACUAAAACUCCAGUGAAGCUUUUUGAAGUACCACUGAGACUAUAUUUUGUACUACUGAGAGUGUAUUUUGUAGCACUAAAACUCCAGUGAUAUUAUUUAAUAACUCAAUGAAACAACUUUAAAUUGA